CGGUGUAAAGAUAUUAGGAUGAGAGUGCAGGUGGUUGUUAAAGAAUAACUUGCAUUGAGUGUGAUCAACAUGAGAAAUUACUUGGAUAUCAGCUCACUCGUCAGUGAUUUUUUCGAUGCUGCAGUGGUGUGACUGAUCCUUUGACCUGCGGUAUAUUGGCUAUUCGUAGCGAGGCUAUAUAGUUUGACUGCAUGUUUUCUUGAUCCCUAGCCAUAUGGAUCCUUGCUGUGUAUGUUGGCUAUGUAGGUUCAGGUUCGCUGUUUGGAGUAGGAUACACCUAGAUGAAAUCUAUCGACUUUGGU
rnacentral:lncRNA from 1 species